rnacentral:rRNA from 1 species
CUACGGGCCGCAGCAGUGGGGAAUAUUGCACAAUGGGCGCAAGCCUGAUGCAGCCAUGCCGCGUGUAUGAAGAAGGCCUUCGGGUUGUAAAGUACUUUCAGCGGGGAGGAAGGGAGUAAAGUUAAUACCUUUGCUCAUUGACGUUACCCGCAGAAGAAGCACCGGCUAACUCCGUGCCAGCAGCCGCGGUAAUACGGAGGGUGCAAGCGUUAAUCGGAAUUACUGGGCGUAAAGCGCACGCAGGCGGUUUGUUAAGUCAGAUGUGAAAUCCCCGGGCUCAACCUGGGAACCGCAUCUGAUACUGGCAAGCUUGAGUCUCGUAGAGGGGGGUAGAAUCCCAGGUGUAGCGGUGAAAUGCGUAGAGAUCUGGAGGAAUACCGGUGGCGAAGGCGGCCCCCUGGACGAAGACUGACGCUCAGGUGCGAAAGCGUGGGGAGCAAACAGGAUUAGAUACCCGCGUAGUC